rnacentral:rRNA from 1 species
AUUGAACGCUAGCGGGAUGCCUUACACCUGCAAGUCGAACGGAGUGGCGAACGGGUGAGUAAUGUAUCGGAACGGGCCCAGUAGCGGGGGAGAACUCAGCGAAAGCGAAGCUAAAACCGCAUACUAUUGGAGCGGCCGAUAUCGGAUUAGCUAGGUGGUGGGGUAACGGCUCACCAAGGCGACGAUCCGUAGCUGGUUUGAGAGGACGACCAGCCACACUGGGACUGAGACACGGCCCAGACUCCUACGGGAGGCAGCAGUGGGGAAUUUUGGACAAUGGGCGAAAGCCUGAUCCAGCCAUGCCGCGUGUGUGAAGAAGGUCUUCGGAUUGUAAAGCACUUUAAGUUGGGAGGCGUUACCAACAGAAUAAGCACCGGCUAACGUCGUGCCAGCAGCCGCGGUAAUUC